CUCCUCAUCCACAUGGUGCUAGACAGCAAACUCUCUGAGAACUGGAUCCUUCCAGUGUUGUGUUUACUUCUGGCCCCGCUGCUCCUAGCCACACCCAUGAAAAAACAAUCCCAAACCUUGAUAACAUAAAAUUUUAAAUGUUCCCAUUGACAGAUAUGAAACUGUUUUCAUUUCCUGAAACUGCACCAAGGUUAUGUCCAUUCUACCUUAGCAGGUUGACUAUUUAUUUUUAACGUCCAAAACCAAUGUUCAUUCUUAUGAUCCCAAUAUGAGGCCAUUAGGCACGAGGAUGCCAUUUAUUCUUUGCACAACAGUGUAUGGAUGAGAAGCCAAAUGAUGAUUGAAAUGCAUCUACCCAGAGGAAAGGACAUUUACCGAAUAAUUGCAGUAGGCAGUAUUAACAGCUGUAAUUAAUUUUUAUAACUUUUCAUGUAGUCAACUUUUCUGUGAAAAUAUUAUAACAACUUCCAUCAUAUAACAAAGAACUACCCUUGAUUCUGCAUGUUGUUCUACCUAUUGCUCCACAUUUAUGUGAUCCAUCAUAAGAAAGCUUCCAGAAGGUGAUAUCAUAUGAUUGCACUUAUGAUGGUAUAAAAAAGCAACCUUCCAAUAUCAAUGGAUUAUCAUAAAAGAAACGUUUUGAAUCUGUCUACAAAUCUAACGUGGUUUGGUCAAGAAGAGAGUGUACUACAAAGAAAAAAUAGUGAAGUGUUUAGGUGUGAGCUACAUUUUCAUAGAAUUUGCAAUUCCACUUUCACUGAUGAAAGAGGAGAGGAACCUUCAAGAAGCAGAAUUGAGUGUGUUUCCUAAGAAAUGAUGGCUAGCACUUUGGCUUACACAGCAUUCACCAAAUCCUGUCACAUGGUAAUGUUGAGGCCCUGGAGACAAAGAAUUUAAAUCAUCAUUUGUGUCCAAGAGAGCUGAAAUCAGGUGUUAUUGAACUAUUCAGAGACAUGUUUACUGUCUUAUAUUAGUUUAUAUUCUUUCACUCUGUUAUCUCCUACAACCUUUUCUUUUAAUUUUUAGACUGGAUUUGUAUCUUUUGUUGAUGCUGCCUUUUCAUAAUCCAGCAGUGACUGAUUAAUUUUUGAGUUAGGAUCAAACUCAAAAAAUGUGUCCCUGACAUGCCCAGAAUGUAGACUAAGACAGUCUUGAGCUGAAGGAAAGCUUCCUUCCUCUGCCUCCAAGAGCAGCCUGGAGCAAUUUUGUAAAUUAGCUUUAGUGAAGUUUACUUGAUACAUGAAGUAUAGUGCUUGACAUAUUUAAUGUUUAGUACAGUAGAGUUGACAGAGGCUCAACACUUGUGCAGUUUGACUAAUUCAAUGUGACUGUUGCUCAGAAAAUCAGUCUGCAUCAGUAAUUUGUUAACUCAGGAGGAUGUGAUUCUCACACAUUGCAGAGAGAAGGAAAAGGAUUGUUCAUUAUCACAUUUACUACUUGCACACAUUCCUAUGGUGCUGGCUAUUUUUAUGUCCACUUGACACAAGUAGAGUUAUCUGAAAGAAGGGAACCUCAAUUGAGCAAAUGCCUCCAUAAAAUCUGGCUCUAUGGCAUUUUCUUAAUUAAUGAUUGAAGUGGGAGGGCCCAGAUCCUUGUGGGUGGUGCCACUACUGUGUUGGUGGUCCAGAGUUCUAUAAGAACGCAGGCUGAGCAAGCUAGUAAGCAGCACUCCUUCAUGACCUCCAUAUCAUUUCCUGCCUCCAGGUUCCUGCCUUGUUUCAGUUUCUGUCCUUCCUUCAGUGAUGAACUUGAUAUGGAAGUAUAAGUCAAACAAAUCCUUUCUUCCCAAAGUUGAUUUGGUCAUGCUGUUUCAUCAAAGCAAAGAAACCAUUGUUGAAACAUCUAAUCAGGUCUCUACGUGUUUCCAUCAGAUGCUGGAUGAAGCCUCUCAGCAGACAAUUAUGCUAGGCUCCUGUCUCUCCUGUGCAAGCAUAGCAGAGUACCCUGUGUUUUCACGAGGGCCCAUUGCUGCCAAGAAAUCAGUUUUCAGAAGCAUUAAAAGAUGCAGAGGUGCUGCCAAGGAAUUAACAGGUGGGUUUGGCUUACUUGGAUUUAGUAGAAUACAGGGGCACAGGUGUAAUUCCAGGAAAUUAAAGAAGCUUAAUAAAAUGAAGGAAGGCUAACAGGGUUCAGCAAGAAAAAAGGAAUCAGUACACUUGUACAAUGAGGAAAGGACUCAGAGCAAACAUUGGGUUGUGCACCUGGGAGUCAUAGACGAUGGUUAGAAGAGUGGUUUAUAUAAGCUGUUGUGUCCUGCUCUGCUCCAGUGGCACAGGUUGAAACCCCAUUUUUCCUGUGACUGUAUUUGGACAUAAGGUCUUUGAGGAGGUAAUUACUGUUAAAUCAAGUUCAAAGGUGGAACCAUAGAAGACUGUGUUGAUGUCCUUUUAAAAGAGAAAAAAGACAUCUGGACUCUGUAGUGUUCCUGUUCUGUCUUUCUGCUGCAUACACAAAGACAAGGCCUUGAGAGAAACAGCAACAGGACUUGUGUUCAGUCAAGAAAACACUUCCACUAGAGACUGAAUAUGUAGCUGUCUUGACCGUAAACUUAGUGCCUCCAGAAUAUUAGGAAAAAAGAUAGGAAGGAAGGAAGGAAGGAAGGAAGGAAGGAAGGAAGGAAGGAAGGAAUGAGGGAAAAGUUCUCUUGUUUAAAUCACCAAUCUGUGGUUGGCAUUCAGUUUUGGGAGUUCCUGCAGGCCAAUGUGAGCAAUAAGGGGAUCAUGUUUAAAUAUUUGAGGAAAUGGUAGUUGUUAAGCUGAUACUUACUCAAAAUUACAAAAUUCUUAUAUUGUCUUAUAAAAAAGCAGAUGUGCGUGUAUAGAACAAGAGAUGGGGCAUUAUGAACUAAUAUGGAUUAUGGUUUCAUAAAUAAGUGUUGCCUGUCAUUAAAAAUGCUCCUAGGCUCAUGCUCUGACAUCUCCAGGUUCCCCUUGCUUCAACUCGAUCACAACCAUCCCUCAAACUGGAAAAUCCUGGAGCUGCAGUCUGCACUCCACCAGUCCCUUCACUAUCUUUGCUAAGCCACCAGCUAUCGCCCCAGAUUCCCUCUUUCUGCUGCCUACUUUAGCUCUGCGUAAGAAAAACACUAGAUAGCUUUAUUAUUUUAAAACAAGCCAGAUGGCACAAUUGUUAGGCAAUUAUCUGCUAACAUAUUUCAGCAAACCAUGGGUGGUGGAGGCCGCCAUUUCCAGCCACCCAAGAUCUUACAUUGUUGUUAUGUGCCUCCCAUUUCAGAACCUGCGGAAGAGCCUUCUCUUCCCCUCGGUCCCUUCUCUUCCUUCUGGGUCCUGGAAAUACCACUUUUUUUCCCCUUCUCCCAGUAAUUGACUCUUGCCUUCUUUAUUGACCAAAUCAAGAACCAGUUAGGGAGCAAGGUUUUAGUAACAGCUCCUCUCCCUACAAAUUGGUGUGUAGGAUAAUAUAUUGGGAGAAAAAAAUGUUAGCACAGCAGAAAGAGGAGAUACUAUUGAUAUUGGGGAUCUUAGGUUGGGGAAUGAUGGGAUCAGGAGUUUCUGAGGAGGCCACAUGGGACAGGACCAUUAAUUGGCUCUUUUUAAUUUGGAGAAAAUCCAGGGUAUGUGUCUAGAAACUUAGUGUAAAAACUGACGCCCGUAUUUUUCUCACUCAUUUUUAUACUAUAAGAUUAGAAAUUAAGGGUCUAAAAGAUGAAAGGAUAGUGUGAUGAAGACAAAUUUCAGGAUUAUAAUAUUCUUGAAUAAGAUUAUAAAAAUGAGGACUACGAUAUAGUUGGAUAGGAUAGUAAGAAAUGGGGACUAAAUAUGUUUACAGUCUUGAAACUAUAGAUUUCAUAGUGAAAGGGAAUGAUUGAUAAAUAAUGAAAUAUUUUGGUGGAUAGGUGCUAUGCAACAUCUUCCUCAAGUUUAAGAAAAAGUUAAGAAAGAAUGAGUUGCAGAUGCACAAAUAAAGAAAAAUAUGAUAAAAACCAAGAAGAAUGAUGAAUGCUCACAGUCAACUCUUGGCCCGAGCCAGGGUAUCCUAAUAGAAGAGUUAGGAGAGGAGAAGGAGGGGAUUGCAACCCCAUAGGAAGAACAACAGUAUCAACUAACUGAACACCCCAAACAUUUCAGGGACUAAACGACCAACCAAUGAGUAUAUGUGGAUGGGUCCAUGGCUCCAACUCCAUAUGUAGCAAAGAAUCACCCUAUCUAGCAUCAAUGGUAAGGGAGGCCUUGGUCCUAUAGAGAUUUAAUUCCUAAGCAUAGGGAGAUGCAGGAAGGGUGAGGCAAAAAGGGGUGCAUGAGUGGAGGAACACCUUCAUAGAGGCGAAGGGAACAGGGCAAUGGGAUUGGGGGCUUGGGCAAGGGAGAACAGGAAGGAGGACAAGAUUUGAAAUGUGAGCAAAUAAAAUAAUCAAUAAUAAAAAAGCAAAGCUAACAAGGUAGGAAUGAAAACUCUAAAAACCAAGAAAAGCUAAUCAGAUGUUAAAUAAAUAUAUUGGAUAGAACAUAAGAUAUUAAGUGAGACCAAUGGUCAAGCUGACAUAAAUAGCAUUUAUUUAAAGUUCUAUAAGUAAACAUUAAACAUACAUAUUUCAUCUUAUAACAAUGAAAAGUGGCUAUUGGUGGCUCCUCUGAUGACACUGGACUGAUAGGAGCUUCUGUGGUAGACUCAAAUCUGUGUAGGGAAUGGGUGAAGACCUCAGACAGGGAAAAUAUUUGGCAACCAAGACAACUUGCUGCAUAUGCCAUAUGCCUUAUUACUGGAAAGAGUUAAAGCAAAGAUUUAUACAAGGCGAGACACUUGGUGAAACACUGUUUUGGGAUCCUAGCAUGAAAUGGGAAGAAUUAUCUUGUAAGUUUUCAGGUUACAGAGGACAUUGCCAUAAGCAUCUAAACAAAGAGACUUGGAACUUCGAGAUCAGUUUAGAUGUUAAUUUGACUCCUUCCUCCCACCACAACCCUGUGAAGAUGAAAAACUGGGCCCUCCCAACUCUCAGAUCUUGCUUAUUGACCUUGCACUUCCUAAUGCUCUGGCCAUGAGAAAGGAUGCCGUGUAAGCCCAGACAAAUACAGUAGUGUUUUUUGUUAUAGAAGCCAAACUGACUACAACAAAAAUUUUCAGAGUAUUGGGGGAAAUUAUGUCCCAGGAGAUGUAAGGUAGACCAUGCAUGAAAUCCGUUAGCUAGGAUGAAGAGAGUUCAACAGCCUACUUUGUAGGUCUGCCUAAGCUCCUCACCUUAUCAUAGGUUUUACUCUUGUUCUCACUUCAAUUAGCUCAUCUUUGGAACCCCUUGAACUAUUUCCUGGGCAUUGUGAGCUUUGUUCUAGGCUUGAAAGCAUCUCAAAUAUAUUUAAAGCAAAAUGUUCUCCAUAAAGCCGAGCUAAUUUACUGCAUAGGAAGCAUGAGAUCAGUUGGUGGAAACAUUUUCGUUCUACCAACACAGUAUGAAAAGAACAUAUGUUACAAUUAUCUUUAUGGCUUACACCCAUCUUCUGUUAUUAGCAAUUAGUCAUAGUAUCCUUCUGCAUGGCUCAAAUCAUGUCUACCUUUGGCAAUAAUGCAUGUUAUCUUAACCUCUAGGAGUCCAGACCUUGUCAUAGUGAGGAUCCUUCCUAGCAGAGCAGUGAAUACAACGGAGUUUGUGGUAAGAGCAUCACCAUGAGGCUAGCUGAGUCUUCUGUGAUGCCAGUGUGCUUAGGGAUGGGAAAUUGGAAUUUUUAUGAAGUAACUCCCUUUUGAUCCUGUCAUUUAAAGCCUGAAAGAUAAAAUGACCCCUGUACUACCCAAACCUCACCUACGAUGCCUGCAGAGUUUUACUGCUUCAUAAAACUACAAUAAAGCCCCACUACUUAAAAAAGAUCCCACUCUCCAUCCCACGGUGUUUACAGUCUUUGAUCAUUUUAGAAAGGAGAGUUGGAGAGCUGCCAGAAUCAGGAAACGAGCAGGCUUUUGUCCUCUCCCAGCUAUUACAAAAAUUUUAUGCCUAAAAGGAAGAAAAGAAUAACGCCCCAAACUAGGUACUUCGGAACUGUGUAAACGUUGUGAUUUAAUUCGCUAAUCUCCAAAUUUGCCACGGAAAAUAAAAGGCUACCUGGGAGCUGUCAGCCUGGAGAUAAGUCUUGUUGUUAGUAUGCAAGCCUGUGUGCUCAUGUCUUGAGAUUACAUCUGCUCAUUACAGGUAGCAUGGCUUCCACAUAUUCCACGAGGAAAACAGAGCACGGAUGCAAAGUGGAUGACCAACAGCCAAGGAUAACUCAGGAUUAUUUCAUGGCCUCACUGAAAGGGGUUGUUGAGGGUAGGGGGUGAUGGUACAGGCGUGUGAUCUCUGCUGCCAGAAAUCUGGAGAUAGGAGAGUGGUAACUUUAUAAAUCUGCCUGGCCUCCAUAGAAAAUCCUUUUUCAAAAACAGCUGGAUGAUUUGAAAGCUUUUUGGAGAAUUUGGUGGUAGCUUUUUAGUGCUAAGGACUUUAUAAUAACUGCACAUGUCAUGAGGUCAAGAAUACCAUGAAAGAAUUUUUUUUGAAGUGAACACUGUCAAAAUAAGCAUGGGUUCUCACCCCUUUCGAAGUAAGCAGGUUAUGAUUGGUGCUCAAAGGUCAGUGGCAGCAAAUACUCUCUUUGAAGAAAGGAAUAGAAAGAUUUUGCUUUUGUCUUUGUUCUUUGCCUGUGUUUUGUUUGUUUGCUUGUUUAUCUUUUUUAUCCUGGCAGCCCUACUGUUAUUAUCUGGGUAUUUAGUAUGACUGAAUAUAUGUAAAGGGAAAAUUAUGAUUAUUUCAACUAAGAUACAUUUGGAAGCAAACUAUGCAAUAAAUAAUGUUUAAAGUGACUUUUGAAUUACUUUAUCUCUCCCAUUAGGUUUGAAAGUUCUUGAGUAAGAUGAUGCUAAGGCCUAUGGCUUCUGGUGCAUUUUCUCCAUACUUUAUUGCUGUAAAAUUAUACUUGACUUGUCUCCAAACCACCACGUAUUUUAAUUUGCCCUGUUUAAUCCAUUUACCAUCAAGAUUUCUUCACCUUAUUCGGCUUGAUGAUGUAAUACCCUUUUCAUCAUUCUUCAAAUUUGUUUCCUACUUUCUCCCACCAUGGCAUCUGCUUUUGUUUCUUGCACAAUGGCAGAUUAAUUAAUCUAGUGCUCAGAGUAAAGGCUAUGAAUAAAGUAAUAUUUGGCAGCGAUUGCCGGACAUGGGUCAAGCUGAAUCACUGCUAGAAAGUCAACACUGUCUGCUCAUUCCUGUAAUCAUACAUGAAGCCUUGGAGAAGUGGUUCUUAUUUCUAAAAAUAUGAGACUCACUGUACACCUAUCCAUAUGACUAAGACCCAGAACAAUGAAAUCGCCAAGCACUAAGGAAGAUGUGGGGUUGGGGAGAAGUUUCUCUAAUUGCAUAUGAAAUGAAAUGCAGUCCAGCACUUUGAAAGACAAUAAGCAAUUUCAUAAAUAUCUAAAUGGACUCAUACCACAACCUCGACAUACGCAUACCUGAUUUUUUUUUCUAAAUGAACUGAAAUUUGUUUCAUAAAAUUUCACACAAGGAUGUUUGUAGUGACAUGCUAAGACAGCCAAACUUGUUAGUGAUGAUGAUAUCUUCUAUCAUGUUAAUGGAUAGAUGAAAUGUGGCAGUCUCUCACAAUGUAAUAUUACUUAUUACUAAAAAAGAAAUGAGCCAGGUGUGGUGGUGUACAUCUUCAAUCCACUCUCACAGUGGCAAAUGCAGGCAGACCUCUAUGAGUUUGAUCCACAUAGGAAAUACCAGAAGAGACAAACCACUCCCUGGUCAAAAACAAAAACAAAAAUUAAAAUAUAAAGAAAUAGAAGAAACAAAUUCAUAUUAUUAAGUAAUACAGCAAUUAGCAAGAGGUACACAUUAUCAAAUUCUAACUAUUCAACCACUGAGUAAAUCUGUUCUUUUAUAGGGAUUGCCUUGCUAAUGGUUUCUCUUCUCAUCAAGAGAACAGUGACUGAGACAAAUGUUUUUCAGAAUUUAACUGUAAGUAGAUUAAUACAUUAUAGGAAAUUUUAGAUAUACAAGGAAAUAUAUGCAGAAAUGAAUAAUGAUCGGACAAAAAUCGUCUAAUAAUAUGGUAAUGAAUAGGUAGUAUGAUGGUUUCAAGCAGCAUUUUAGCUGGGUGUGGUAUUAACCCUAGCGUUCUGGAGGCAGAGGCAGGUGAAUGUCUAUGAGUUGGAGGCUAGUCAUUCUCAUACAAGCUGAGCUGUCUGAGGGAAAAAGAGACCAGCUGGACUGACUGAAAUAAGCAAAGACUAGCCAGGUUGUCUGCAAGAGGCUCAGACAGUCCUGGGAUUUAGCAAGGAAGCCAACUUGAGUCAUUCUGGUUAACUGUAGGGCUCUUGUACAUAUUCCUCUUGGCAAUCCAAUAAAACUCAUUGGUUCACCAAGCUGAAUUUAAGGUAUAUCUUUACUUGUUCUGUCAUUGCCUUUAUGUCUCUCCAGGAAGAGUGUCACACAGCAGACAUUUAUACACAACUACUCAUGUAUUUAUGGGAGGGAGGGAAUACUGUCUCAGUAUUUUAUAUUUUCUGUCUUAUUGCAAUCAGACAUGGGCAGAGAGCCUUGUUUCACUGGUUAUUGUGUGUCAUGGAGAUUCUAUCCUGCCUUUCCUAAGUGGAAGUGUGGUUCUGUGUUUUUGGCUACCCAUGCUUGAGCCUUUCAGAUUCUUUGAGAGUUACCCAGUGAUUCCAAUUCAGGCACAACAGAGAAAGCAUGUGAAUGUGACUCCUAGCUGAGUCUGCUCAUGUCAACUGUAAGGAUAGCACUAGUGGUCAGGGACUCUGAGUUACUCACCAGGGUGGCUUAAUAUGCCUGCUUUGUGUCCAAGCUAGGAGUGAGAUUGUGGAGAUGGGGAGAGAAAAUGAGGUCAUGGUUACUUACAAGUCUGGACUGCUUUUUUGUUUUUGUUUUUUGUUUUUUGUUUUAUUGUUUUUGUUAUUUUUGUUUUUUUUUUUGUUUUUAAUGCUACCAGACUUGAGCUGGGCCAGUUAGUAUAGCUAGGGAAUGAAUGAGUGGUGAUAUGGAAUGCUCACAAACUGGACAUCUGUGACAGCAGUAAGAUUCAAUUUAGACUUCAAACUAACAGUGAAUGAGUAUUCCUUUUUGUCUAGAUCCAUGCCAAAACUUUGUUGUCAUUUAACCUGUUUAUUUACUUUAGCCAAUUUUAUUCAGGUAAGAAGAAGCUGUAAAGUAGGCUUAAUUUAUAUUUCUCUGAGGGCUAAGGACAUUGACUAUUUUAAAUGAUCUUUUAAGUGAUAUUUAAUAUUUUAAAAUGUACAAAAUAAGUGUCUAGGAUUAAAAUGUGGAUACUUGUCACCCAUGGACAACCUGAUCAUCAUUUCUGAAGCGAGAGAUUUAAAAAUUCCUUACCUACGUGAAUUAUUCUAAUGUGAGGUUGGACAGAUAGUCCAAGCUUAAACAAAUUCACACUUAUUUAUAAAAUGUCCACAUGACAAUUAAGUGUCUGAAUGGAUUUGUGGGGACGUGAGAACAAAUGUCUACUCCCGCAUAUAAGGAAUGAAUAGCAGACUGAAGUAAGGAUAGAAGCAAAGUAAAGCUUGCUGGACUGAUGAGUUUUAAUGAAGUGGAUAUGGAUAAGAGGUGACUUAUAGCAGAAAUGAAACAAAGAGGCCUGGUUGCUAACACCCAACCCAGCAUGGGUGAAAUCUCAUGACAGUUGGGAAACCUGGAGCCCACUGCACUGUCUGCAAGGGAGGAGUGUUCUCUCCAAGUAGCUCAGUUGAUCUGAAACGUCAAGACAGCUUGUCUAUUCUCUAUUUCUUCAGGCACUUCAGCUUAUGAAUGAAUGAUUGAUUCUCAGUAGUUCUUUUUUUUAAAAAAAUAAAACUGGAUUUUUAAAAAUUUGUUUACAUUUAAAAUGUUAUCCCCUUUCCUGGUUUCCUGUCCAUAACCCCCUAUCCCAUGCCCUCCAUCUUCCAUAAGGGUGUUCCCCCACCUAUUGACCCACCCCUUACCCCCUCCCUGCCCUGACAUUGCCCUACACUAGGAGGUCCAGCUUUUGCAGGACCAAGGGCUUCUCUUUCCAACAAGGCCGUCCUCUGCUAUAUAUGAAGAUGGAGCCAUGGGUCUGUCCAUGUAUACUCUUUGGAUGAUAGUUUAGUCCCUAGGAGCUCGGGUUGAUUGGUAUUGUUGUUCUUAUGGGGUUGCAACCACUUCAGCUCCUUCAAUUCUUUAUUUAACUCCUCCAUUGGGAACCCCAUUAGUUCAAUGGUUAGUUCUAGCAUUUGCCUCUCUAUUUCUCAUCUCUGGCAAAGCCUCUCAGGAGACAGCUAUAUCAGGCUCCUGUCAGCAUGCACAACUUGGCAUCCCCAGUAGUGACUGGGUUUGGUGGCUGUAUGCAUAUGGGCUGGAUCCCCAAAUGGGGCAGUCAAUGAAUGUCCAUUCCUUCAAUCUCUGCUCCAACUUUUGUCUCUAUAUCUGUGCCUAUGAAUAUUUUGUUUCCCUUUCUAAGAAGGACUGAAGUAUCCACACUGUGGCUGUCCUUCCUCUUGAGUUUCCUGUGGUCUAUGGAUUGCAUGGAUAUUGGGUAAUCUGAGUUUUUAGGCUAAUAUCAAUUUAUCAGUGAGUUCAUACCAUGUGUUUGUUUGUGUGUGUGUGUGUGUGUGUAUGUGUGUGUAUGUGUGUGUGUGUGUGUGUGUGUGUGUGUGUGUGUGUGUGUUAUUGGGUUACCUCACCCAGGAUAAUAUUUUCUAGUUCCAUCCAUUUGCCUAAGAAUUUCAUGAGGUCAUUAUUUUUAAUAGUUGAGUUGUACUCCAUUGUGUAAAUGUACCACAUAUUCUGUACCCAUUCCUCUGUUGAAGGACAUCUGGGUUCUUUCCACAUUAUGGUUAUUAUAAAUAAGGCUCCUGUGAACAUAGUAGAACAUGUGUCCUUGUUAUAUGUUGAAGCAUCUUUUGGGUAUAUGACUAGGAGUGGUAGAGUUGGGUCCUCAGGUAGUACUAUGUCUAAUUUUCUGAGGAACCACCAGACUGAUUUUCAGAAUGGUUGUCCCAGCUUGCAAUCACACCAAGAGGAGUAUUCCUCUUUCUUCAUAUCCUCAUCAGCAUAGGCUGAUGAGUUUUUGAUCUUAACCAUUCAUGUGAGGUGGAAUCUCAGUGUAGUUCUUGUUUACAUUUCCCUGAUGAUUAAUGAUGAUAUUGAGUGUUCUUUAGGUGCUUCUCAGCCAUUCGAUAUACCUUGCUUGAGAAUUAUUUGUUUUGCUAUGUACUCCAUUUUAAAUGGGAUUAUUUGAUUCUCUGGAGUCUAUCUUGUUGAGUUCUUUGUACAUAUUGGAUAUUAGCAGUCUAUCAGAUGUAGGAUUGGUAAAGAUCCUUUCCCAAUCUGUUGGUUGCCAUUUUGUCCUAUUGACAGUGUCCUUUGCCUUACAAAAGCUUUGCAAUUUUAUGAGGUCCCAUUGGGCAAUAUGCAGGAAUUUGUCUAUGUAUUGAAGGCUCUUCCCCACUUUAUUUCUAUUUCUUUCAGUGUAUCUGGAUUUAUGUGGAGGUCUUUGAUCCACUUGAACUUGAGCUUUGUACAAAGAAAUAAGAAUGGUUCAACUUGCAUUCUUCUACAUGCUGACCUCCAGUUGUACUAGCACCAUUUGUUGAAAAUGCUGUCUGUUUUCUACUGAAUGGUUUUACCAAAGGUGUAUGGGUUCAUUUCUGUGUCUUCAAUUCUAUUCCAUUUAUCUACCUGCCUGUCUCUGUACCAAUACAAUACAGUUUUUAGCACUAUUGCUUUGUAAUACAACUUGAGGUCAGGGAUGGUUAUCCCCCCCAAAGUUCUUUUAUUGUUGGGGAUAGUUUUUGCUAUCCUGGUUUUUUUUUUGUUAUUCUAAAUGAAUUUACAAAUUGUUCUUUCUAACUCUAUGAAGAAUAGAGUUGGAAUUUUGAUGGGGAUUAGAUUGAACCUGUAGAUUGCUUUUGGGGAGAUGGCCACUUUUAUAAUAUUAUUCCUGCCAAUCCAUGAGCAUGGGAGAAGGUACAAUGAGGUGCUGAGAAGAAGGUAAAUUAUUUUGUUUUAGGAUGAAAUUUUCUAUAUCUGUUAAAUCCAUUUGGUUCAUAACUUCUGUCUCUUUCUCUAUGUCUCUGUUUAGUUUCUGUUUCUGUGAUAUGUCCAUUGAUUGGAGUGUGUGUUGAAGUCUCCCACUAUCAUUGUUUGAGGUGCGAUAUUUGCUUUGCACUUUAGUAAGGUUUCCAUUGUGAAUGUGGGUGCACUUGCAUUUGGAGCAUAGAUAUUCAGGAUUGAGAGUUCAUCUUAGUGGAUGUUUUCUUUUGAUGAAGUGUCCUUCAUUAUCUUUUUUGACAACUUUUGGUUGAAAGUCAAUUUUAUUUGAUAUUAGAAUAGCUACUCCAGCUUGUUUCUUGGGAUCAUUUGCUUGGAAAUUGUUUUCCAGGCUUUUAUUCUGCGGUAGUGUGUCUUUGUCAGUGGGAUGUGUUUCCUGUAUUCAGCAAAAUGCUGGGUCCUCUUUAUGUAUCCUGUCUGUUAGUCUAUGAUUCUUUAUUGGGGCAUUGAGUCCAUUGAUGUUGAGAGAUAUUAUGGACCAAGGAUUGUUGUUUCCUGUUAUUUUUUAUUGUUAGAGGUGCAACUAUGUUUGUGUGGCUCUCUACUUUCUGGCUAGUUGAAAUCAGAUUACUUUUUUGCUUUUCCAGGGUAUAGUUUUUCUCCUCAGGUUGGAGUUUUCCAUCUAUCAUCCUUUGUAGGGCUGGAUUUGUGGAAAGAUAUUGUGUAAUUGGUUUUGUCGUGGAAUGUCUUGGUUUCUCCCUCUAUGUUAAUUGAGAGUUUUGCUGGAUAUAGUAGCCUGGGCUGGCAUUUGUGUUCUCUUUGGGUCUGCAUGACAUCUGUCCAGGAUCUUUGGGCUUUCAUAUUCUCUGUUAAGAAGUCUGGUCUAAUUCUUAUAGAUCUGCCUUUAAAAGUUACUUGAUUUUUUUCCCUUACUGCUUUUAAUAUUCUUUCUUUGUUUUGUGUGUUUGGUGUUUUGACCAUUAUGUGACAGGAAGAACUUAUUUUUUGGAUCAAUCUAUUUGGAGUUCGGUAGGCUUCCUAAAUGUUUAUGGGCAUCUCUUUCUUUAGGUUAGGGAAGUAUUCUUCUACAAUUCUGUUUAAGAUAUUUACUGGCCCUUUAAGUUGGGAAACUUUCCUCUCCUCUACACCUAUUAUCCUUGGGUUUGGUCUUCUCAUUGUCCUGAAUUUCCUAGAUGUUUUGGUUUAGGAGCUUUUUGCAUUUUGCAUUUUCUUUGAUAGCUGUGUCAAUGUUAUCUAUGGUUUCUUCUUCCCCUGAGAUUCUCUCUUCUAUCUCUUGUAUUCUGUUGGUAAUGCUUGAGUCUAUGACUCCUGAUCUCUUUCCUAGGCUUUCUAUCUCCAGGGUGGUCUCCCUUUGUGAUUUCUUUAUUUUUUCUAUUUCCAUUUUUAGAUCCUGGAUUGGUUUGUUCAAUUUCUUCAGCUGUUUGGUUGUGUUUUCCUGUAAUUCUUUAAGGGGUUUUUGUGUUUUCUUUAUAAAGGCUUCUACCUAUUUACCUGUGUUGUCCUGUAUUUCUUUAAGGGAGAUUUUGGGUGUUUUUUUGUUUGUUUGUUUUAUUUUUUUUUGUUUUGUUUUGUUUUUUCCUUCUUAAAGUCUUCUAACAUCAUCAUUAGUUUUUAUUUUAAAUCAAAUUCUUGCAUUUCCAAUGUGUUGGGGUGUUCAGGGCUUGGGAUAGGUGAGUUAGGUUCUGAUGAUGCCAAGGGUCCUUGGUUUCUGUUGCUUAGGUUCUUGCCCUUGCCUCUUGCCAUCUGCUUAUCUCUAGUGCUAGCUGGUCUUGCUGUCUCUGACAUUGGCUUGACCAUCCUGUAAGCCUGUGUGUCAGCACUCCUGGAGACUGGCUUUCUUCCAGCAGCAGUUGGGAACAGAGAGCUGUUUCACAAGGUCAGCUCCAGACACAGGCAGAAACCAGAGGGAUCCUGUCCCAGACUGCUCCUCAUUUCUUGUGUCCAGAAGGGUGGGAGCAGGUUCUCUUGGGCCAGCAAAGUGAGCAGAAGAGGUAGUCUCACCUGUGCUCACAGGAUUGUCCGGACUUCUGAGAAUCCAGCUCUCUACUCACAGGGUCUUGGUACCACAUAGUCCUUAUUAUAUAUACUUAAGGUAGGAAGCACCUAGCGAAUCUGCUCAGGUUCAGGUACUUCCUGAAACUAUUUUGAGUUGCUUACUUUCUAAGCUUAACAUGCUUCCAUGGAGCAUAGCAUGCUGCCCCCACCCUUAACUUCACAUGCUUUAAGGAGUUUCCAAAAAAGAUGGAAGGGUUUAAUUUUAAAGAAAAUGGUUCCACCACACAUCUCAUCACUGGAAGCUGGGAAGACUAUCCUCCAAGAUAGUCUGGCUUCGCUUUGCAACUCUAGAGAACAAAGUCAAUGGUUGUAUUGUCCCAAAUGCUGUUUUCUCUGGGUUAGAGAUGACUAGUGUCUCACCUUUAUGAACCUCUUAAUACAACCAUCACAAAUCAGGCAUUGACAAAUGCUAGUUCAAGCACAGCAUGUUGAACAUAGUAGGUAUCAUAGUGUUGUUGAUAAUAACCUUGAGACUCAAAGACAUUUUAAAGCACUAGUUUCUAAAGUACCCUAAAUAAUAAAAUUCAGCAGUUAGACCAAGGUAAGACAUUUUCUGAAAUAUAAUAAUAAGUCUAUUUUCAUUAAAAAUAAUUAGCUUUCUCUAUAUGGAUAUAAACACACAUCAACAAUUAAAAAGUGUGCUUAUGUGUCAGUGUAUAAUAUGGUUUGUGCUUUUGAACGUGGGAAAAGAGAAUUUAUUCUAAAUACUCUUAAAUAUAUAAUCAUUAAAUGGCAACUGGGAUAUGACACAGAGUUCAAACCUUUUGAUGUCUUGGAAAACAAUGGAUGAUGAAUCUUACUUCCUACUCUGCUCCCUAGCCAUGUUUACAUGGGUUCUGUUUUUCAUUUCCAUUCUUCUGUUGCUAGGGCUAGAAAGCAGGGCUUUGUGGAUUCCAGCCAUGCUGACUUCUACUUCUGAUCUACACUGGCAAAGUUUAUAGCCUCGAACAAAAAUGGAAUCUUACUCUGAAGCCUCCAACCUUCCCAGAAUGCUCACUGUACUACGUGCACAUGCACAAGGCCUUUGGAUUGAACACUUCAGAAUGUGUUAAGAGGCCUAGGCAAAAAAAAAAAAAUGAUUUUCUUAGAUUUCAAUACAUUUGGUUUUUUUAUUAGCUGACACAAAGUUUUGUGCAGUCCUCUAGGUUGCACAAACUGAGGUAUUGUAGUCAGACUUGAUUGCAGAAAAUAGCUAUAACUAGAAAUCUACUCACUGCAGCACCCAGACACACAAAGAGCAGUGGUGGGAACACAAUCUGCAAAGAUGAUUUUAACACAAUGGCCUGAGAGUUGUUUGUAUCCUUUCUAUUAAGACGUCCUAACUUAAACCCUCAUUCAGCUUUCCUAAAAAUGAAGCAUUCUAUAGAAUGAAACCUGCUUAUCAGGCACAUUCUGCACACUUAUUGUUGUAUUUUAAAAUGAGCUUCUUCUUCACUUUCAACUGAAUUGAAAACAACAACCAUCAGAUGAGGUCAUCCCAGCAGGAAGCCCAAUUAACUCAAAAUAAAGUCUCAAAUGAUACAUGAACCAGAACUCAUAAUCAGCUUCCCCCAGGGUACUGCGACCCACUCUUGCAUUAAAAUGUGUUAAUGUGAUCUUCUUCUGUCUUCGUCAAUUCUAUUGCCCCUUUAACCAAUAUUUUAUGUCUUCGAUGUAUAAACUUUUAGAUAAAUGCAUAUGAUCUAGAUAAUAGCCUACGAAUUGGCUAUUCUCAAUUUUAGUUCUUCAGAUACUUACCUACCUGUUCAGGAACAUCUGCUUUUGCUUAAGUGGGAUUGAUAUCGAUAUCAACUCUUUUCUAAUUUGCAAAUUUACAUUUUUAUUAGUGCAUUUUUCAAAGAGUAAGUUAAGUAAGAAAGAAUGAGAGAAAAGAAUGAUAGCGAAACAGAGAGAGAGAGAGAGAGAGAGAGAGAGAGAGAGAGAGAGAAUACCUAAUUAUACAGCAGAUGCCAGAAGUGGUAUUUAUUCACCAAAACUGCAUGGGCCAUUCAUUAAAAUCUCAGUUUUAAUUAGCAAACACCUGUUUUCUGUUUGAUUUUACACUGAUAUCUACUGUCUGCAAUUUGCUUUCCUCAGUAAGCAAUUAGCUAGCCCUGACAGUAACGGUUAAUCUAAUUAGUCCAGAGGUACCCUGGGAGGUAGCGAUCGACUUGCAGAGAUUACAGAUACAAGUGAUCACAGCUUCAUCCACAUGAAUUUAUAAGAUGUGCACACAAUUGUUGUUAGGCAUCACCUUGGUCUUGGACUUUCCUUCUGGACUGGGUUUAGAAGGAAGGAAGGAAGGAAGGAAGGAAGGAAGGAAGGAAGGAAGGAGGAAGGGAGGAAGGAAGGACUAGAUAAUGCAAGUUUUCAACAUAUUAUAUGUACUAGAUGGCAUACUAAAUCUAGAAAUCCUUGAGCUGAGAGAUAGAACAAUUGUAUCUUUUAGCUUAUAAGAGGUUAGAAACUGAUGAACUCCUUAAUCAGGUAUAUAAAACAAUUAUUGUAUACCCAGGAGUUUAGAAGAUCAGCUGAUCCAAGGGCCAUUUAAAUGCUUUCAGGCAAGAAUUAAAAUGUCCUCUAAUAAAUUUCCGUUGUCACUAAAGAAACAGCAUGAGGACACUGCAUUUCUUGGAACAAGGAGGCUGUCCUUGUUUGCAAACUGGCAAAAGUGUGUUUGCAAACAUAUAAUAUACAUGACUGUACUGGCAUGCUAUCAUAGCUUAAUGAAGUUCUCUGAUGUCUUUUAACAUAGAUUAUGGCAUAGGAGAAAUUCUUUUUCCUAAUUCUGAAAUUAAGUCAAAAUGAGUUACCACUGAAUUCUAGGGUCUAGAAAAAUCUGCAUCAAAGAAGCAGUCAGUCAUUAGACUUAAUUAUGUAUCACAUUUCCAUAAUGGUGCAGUUAGGUGAUUGGAGUGAAUCGUCUCCUAAGGAAAGCAAAGGUUAAUAAAUGUCACUACUAGAGAUGCCUGCCAAUGUGUCUCUUCCUUCUCCCUUCUCACUCUCUCAAGUAUUUAUCUGGAAAAUAAGGAACUCUGGGUUACUUGACUGUAUUCACACACUACACAUAGAAGAAUACACAUUCUUUAUGCACAUAAAGGUUUAUCCCCAGCCAGUAGUGAAAACACAUUCAGAAAACCUCUGACUCCAUGAAUUUACAUGAUAUCAAAUAUCAUGAAAGACAACCAAAAAGAAGAAGAAGAAGAAGAAAAA